rnacentral:rRNA from 1 species
UGGCUUUGUUCAGCUGUGUUGUGGGAAUUUUGGGUUAAGUCCCGCAAGAGCGCCAACCCCUAUCCCAAGUUUAACAGGUGAAUGAAGGCACUUUGAGGAAACUGCCGGUGACAAACCGGAGGAAGGUGGGGAUGACGUCAAGUCAUCAUGGCCCUUAUGUCCAGGGCUACACACGUAAUACAAUGGUCGGUACAGAGGGCAGCCAUAUCGCAAGAUGGAGCGAAUCCCAAAAAGCCGAUCCCAGUUCGGAUUGUUGUCUGCAAUUCGAGCGCAUGAAGUAGGAAUCGCUAGUAAUCGCGGAUCAGCAGGC